CGGGGGAGGCCGGGUCCUGGGCUGUGUCCCGGCGCCCUGUGCUCCGGGGCCUGCGCUGGUGGAUUCGCGCUCCCGCCCCGCAGCCCCCU
rnacentral:pre_miRNA from 1 species